rnacentral:rRNA from 1 species
CGUAGGGUGCAAGCGUUAAUCGGAAUUACUGGGCGUAAAGCGUGCGCAGGCGGUUUUGUAAGUCUGUCGUGAAAUCCCCGGGCUCAACCUGGGAAUUGCGAUGGAGACUGCAAGGCUAGAAUCUGGCAGAGGGGGUAGAAUUCCACGUGUAGCAGUGAAAUGCGUAGAGAUGUGGAGGAACACCGAUGGCGAAGGCAGCCCCCUGGGUCAAGAUUGACGCUCAUGCACGAAAGCGUGGGGAGCAAACAGGAUUAGAUACCCUGGUAGUCCACGCCCUAAACGAUGUCUACUAGUUGUCGGGUUUUAAUUAACUUGGUAACGCAGCUAACGCGUGAAGUAGACCGCCUGGGGAGUACGGUCGCAAGAUUA